rnacentral:rRNA from 1 species
UACGUAGGGGCCGAGCGUUGUCCGGAGUUUAUUGGGCGUAAAGCGCGCGCAGGCGGCCUCGCGCGCCCGACGUGAAAGCCCCCGGCUUAACCGGGGAGGGUCGUUGGGGACGGCGGGGCUUGAGGGCGGGAGAGGUCGGUGGAAUUCCUGGUGUAGCGGUGAAAUGCGUAGAUAUCUGGAGGAACACCGGUGGCGAAGGCGGCAUCCUGGACCAACACUGACGCUGAGGAGCGAAAGCCAGGGGAGCAAACGGG